GGGGUUCUGGCUCAGUGGUAGAGCACUUGCCUAGCACGUGUGAGACACUGGGUUCAAUUCUCAGCACCGCCU
rnacentral:tRNA from 1 species